GAGCGAUGCCUGGGAAGUGCGCAUGCGCUCUGACGCCAGACUUGGCGUUUGUAGGAGAAGCAUCUGUCCCAGAAUGUCCAGCAAGGAAGUAAAGACUGCUCUAAAAAGUGCUCGAGAUGCAAUUAGAAACAAAGAAUACAAAGAAGCUUUGAAACAUUGUAAGACAGUGUUAAAACAAGAGAAAAAUAACUACAAUGCCUGGGUUUUUAUUGGUGUUGCUGCAGCCGAGCUGGAACAGCCUGACCAGGCCCAGGGUGCCUAUAAGAAGGCUGCAGAACUAGAGCCAGACCAGUUACUAGCUUGGCAGGGGUUAGCAAACUUGUAUGAGAAAUGUAAUCAUGUAAAUGCUAAGGAUGACUUACCUGGUGUUUACCAAAAGCUCCUGGAUCUUUAUGAAAGUGUUGACAAACAGAAGUGGUGUGAUGUCUGUAAGAAACUUGUGGAUCUGUAUUACCAAGAAAAGAAACACAUAGAGGUGGCCCGAACAUGGCACAAAUUGAUAAAGACACGGCAGGAGGAAGGUGCAGACAACCAAGAGCUUCAUCAGCUGUGGAGGAAAUUGACUCAGUUGCUGGCUGAAAGCACUGAGGAUCAGAAUAAUGAGACCCAGCAAUUGCUAUUAACUGCUUUUGAGAAUGCACUGAACUUAUCAGACAAGAUUCCUAGUGAAGAUCACCAAGUACUUUACAGACAUUUCAUUCAGUGCUUAUCCAAAUUUCCUCAUGAGACUGCUAGGCUGAAGAAGGCCUGUGAAGGAAUGAUAAACAUCUACCCCACUGUACAGUAUCCAUUAGAAGUCCUUUGUUUGCAUUUAAUUGAAUCAGGAAGUGUUACUGAUGAGGGAGAACAGUAUUGUUAUAGAUUAGUGGAAAUGGAUUCAAAAAGUGGUCCAGGCCUCAUUGGUUUAGGCAUUAAAGCAUUACAAGACAAAAAAUACGAAGAUGCUGUUAAGAACUUAACAGAAGGGUUACAGGAAAGCCCUCUCUGCACAACUGGAUGGUAUCGUCUCGCAGAAGCCCAAGUCAAAAUGCAUAAACCUAAGGAAGCUAUUCUUUCAUGCAAUCAAGGUCUGAAGAACAUAGAUAAUCUUGGUGUGUCUGGUGGCAGUCUUCAUCAGAAGAAUCUUUGUCUUCAUUUGAAAGCAGAGGCUUUGAUUAAACUCUCAGAUUAUGAAUCUUCAGAGGAAGCAAUUCGUACUCUUGAUCAGGUUUCUGAUGCAAAUAAUAUCCCAGGACUUUUGGUUCUCAAAGGCUUGGCCUAUCUGAACAAAGGCUCAUUAGAUGAAGCUUCAAAGAUUAUGGAAGACCUUCUCUCUUCUUAUCCUGACCUCGCUGAAGCUCAUGCCUUGGAGGCUUUGAUUCAUUUUACCAAAAAGGACUAUCUACAAGCAGAAAAAUGUUUUCAGAGAGCUCUUGAGAAAGAUGCUGAAGUUGCUGAAUAUCAUUACCAACUUGGAUUAACAUAUUGGUCCAUGGGUGAAGAAACAAGAAAAGAUAAAACAAAGACUCUUACCCACUUUCUAAAGGCUGCCAAACUGGAUCCAUACAUGGGCAAAGUUUUCUGCUAUUUAGGUCAUUAUUACCGAGAUGUAGUAGGAGAUAAAAACAGAGCCCGUGGAUGUUACAGGAAAGCUUUUGAAUUAGAUGACAGUGAUGUUGAAUCUGGAGCUGCAGCAGUUGACUUAAGUGUGGAGCUUGAAGAGAUGGAAACUGCUUUAGCUGUCCUAACAGCCGUCACUCAGAAGGCAAGUGCUGGAACGGCCAAAUGGGCCUGGCUUAGGCGAGGACUGUACUAUUUGAAAGCUGGUCAACAUUCUCAAGCCGUGGCUGAUUUACAGGCAGCAUUAAGGGCAGACCCAAAGGACUUCAAUUGUUGGGAGUCAUUAGGAGAGGCAUACUUAAGCAGAGGUGGCUAUACAACGGCCUUGAAAUCCUUCACAAAAGCCAGUGAGCUGAACCCAGAAUCCACAUACAGUGUGUUUAAGGUUGCAGCAAUACAGCAAAUCCUAGGCAAAUAUAAGGAAGCAGUAGCUCAAUACCAGCUGAUCAUUAGAAACAAAGAAGAUUAUGUGCCUGCUUUAAAAGGUUUGGGUGAAUGCCAUCUCAUGAUGGCAAAAGCAGCUCUAGUCGAUUAUCUUGAUGGGAAAGCUGUGGACUAUGUAGAGAAGGCACUGGAAUAUUUUACUAGGGCUCUGCAGCAUCAAGCUGACGUGUCUUGCCUUUGGAAGCUAGUUGGGGAUGCUUGUACCAGUCUCCAUGCUGUCUCACCGUCUAAAGUGAACGUUAGUGUUCUAGGAAUCCUUCUAGGUCAGAAAGAAGGAAAACAAGUACUAAAGAAAAAUGAGCUCCUCCAUCUUGGAGGAAGGUGUUAUGGCCGUGCAUUGAAACUAAUGUCUACAUCUAAUACGUGGUGUGAUCUUGGAAUUAAUUAUUAUCGCCAGGCACAACACCUAACAGAAACAGGUAACAACACGAAUGAUCUUCAAGAAUUGUUGGAGAAAUCUUUACAGUGUCUGAAAAAAGCCGUGAGACUCGACAGUAGUAACCACUUAUACUGGAAUGCUCUUGGUGUAGUUUCAUGUUAUAGUGGUAUUGAAAAUUAUGCCCUUGCUCAGCACUGUUUUAUCAAGUCAAUCCAGUCAGAACAAAUUAAUGCUGCUGCAUGGACCAACUUGGGAGUGUUAUACCUUGCAAGUGAAAAAAUUGAGCAAGCUCAUGAAGCUUUCAAAAUGGCUCAGUCCCUUGAUCCAACUUAUUUAAUAUGCUGGAUUGGACAAGCUCUAAUUGCAGAGACAGUUGGAAGUUAUGACACCAUGGACCUCUUCAGGCACACUACAGAACUCAGUAUGCAUACUGAAGGAGCAAUAGGUUAUGCAUAUUGGGUCUGUACAACAUUGCAAGAUAAAAGCAACAGAGAAACAGAGCUGUACCAGUACAACAUCCUCCAGAUGAAUGCAAUUCCAGCAGCACAGGUUGUUUUGAGUAAAUACAUAGAAAGAAUUCAGAAUUAUGCUCCAGCUUUCACAAUGUUGGGUUACUUAAAUGAACAUCUACAACUGAAAAAGGAAGCAGCAGCUGCAUACCAAAGGGCAAUUUUGUUGUUACAGACUGCAGAAGACCGAGAUACUUACAAUGUUACAAUGAGAAAUUAUGGCAGAUUGUUAUGUUCCAUUGGUGAAUAUGAUAAAGCUAUCCAGGCUUUUAAGUCCACGCCCCUUGAGGAAUUAGAAGACAUCGUAGGUUUUGCAUUGGCUUUAUUUAUGAAGGGUCUGUACAAAGAGAGUAGCAAAGCCUAUGAGAGAGCCUUGUCUGUUGUUGAAUCAGAACAAGACAAAGCCCAUAUCUUGACAGCUCUGGCAAUAACGGAAUAUAAACAAGGAAAAGUGGAUGUAGCCAAGACGUUGCUAUUUAAAUGCUCUAUCUUAAAGGAACCAACCACAGAAAGCCUUCAAACCCUGUGUGCUCUAGGAUUGGCAGUGCAGGAUGCUACACUGUCCAAAGCUGCACUUAAUGAGUUACUGAAGCACGUCAAACAGAAAGACAAUGAUUAUCAGAGGUGCCUUCUUACUUCAGCGGUUUAUGCACUGCAAGGCCGCAGUGUGGCAGUGCAGAGACAGGCAUCUAAAGCUGUUCACAGUAACCCAGCUGACCCUGCUCUUUGGUCUCUGUUGUCCCGAGUGGUUGCCCAGCAUGCUCAACGAAAUGCAAAAGGAGGUGCAGUAGCAGGAAAUGUGGCUCAUAUCCUGGACUCAAAUCAUGGAAAGAAGGCGUUACUGUACACUGCAGUCAAUCAGUUGGCUACGGGAAGCAAUUCAGCAGAAGAUGAAAAAAAUACUGCACUAAAGACCAUUCAAAAGGCAGCUCUCCUUUCUCCAGGUGAUCCUGCUGUUUGGGCCGGGCUAAUGGCAGCCUGUUAUGCUGAUAAUAAACUGGCUCUAGUGAACAACACUCAGCCAAAGAGGAUGGACUUAUACUUAGCACUGUUAUCUGCUAUUUCUGCCUCAAUUAAAGAUAAAGAAUUCCUUGAAAAUUACAACCAAUCUCUUGAAAAGUGGUCUCUCUCCCAAGCUGUCACUGGCCUAAUAGACACAGGAAGGAUAUCUGAAGCUGAAGCCCUCUGCACAAAGAAUUUAAAAAGUAACCCUGAUCAGCCAGCUGUUAUAUUACUUUUGAGACAAGUUCAAUGUAAACCACUCCUGGAGUCACAAAAACCUCUCCCAGAUGCUGUCCUUGAAGAGCUGCAGAAAACAGUCAUGUCCAACUCAACCUCUGUUCCAGCUUGGCAGUGGCUGGCACACAUUUAUCAGUCGCAAGGGAUGAUGGGUGCUGCAGAGAUGUGUUAUAGGAAAAGUCUCCAAGUAGCAUCCCAGCAGGGCAGCUGGAGUGGGAAGCUCUCAAGUUUGUUGAGACUAGCACUGCUUGCAUUAGAAGUCUGCAUGGCUAAUAUUUCCAACAAUCACUGGCCAUCCUUGGUUCAGGAAGCUACAACUGAAGCCUUGAAACUUUGCUUUUGUCCACUGGCUGUCCUUUUACAAGCUUUGUUACAAUUCAGCCGCAAAAUGGGGGCAAGAGAAACACGGCGACUUUUGGAGAGAGUGGUGUAUCAGCCUGGGUAUCCCAAGUCUAUUGUGUCAACUGCACGUUGGUACCUGCUGAGACACUUACAUGCCAAAAAUGACGAUGAGCUCAUUGGUGUGCUGAUAAACAAUGCCACAACUCACGGAGAUACAAGAGCAUUGGAAUUGAAUCAGAAAUUGUCCUCACAAUAACAAUGCAUUAUUUUAGAAGUAAGCAAGCAAAGAAAAAGCUAUUAGAAAGAAUGAAACAAUGAAUCAAGACUUUUCCCUAAAGCAACAGUUUAAAAAACUAUAGUUAUAAUCAUCCAUGCCUUUCUUUAAAUCUAGAGAUAUUUAAGUUCUUAAGCUAGGGAUGUAAUUUGCUGUAAACUCUUAAUAUAACUUUAAUCUGGAAAACAUAUUUGAUUUUGAAAAGUCCAUAAUUAAAGGAAAAACCAUGAUUCCCUUAGUCGCUUAGUUUUUUGUAAACCAUUAUUUCCUCCAUCUUGCAUGGUGCACAAUAGGAUUUUUUUAAGUAAUCCCUUACAAUAAAGCCUUAAUGGUCAUUUUCUAAAUAAUGUGCAAAAGCAUAUUAGCACAAAGCAGAAUUUCAUUUGUUAAACAACAAAUUAAAAGAUUUAAUUCCUUCUAUGAAUGCUAGAGUUCAGGAGACCAACUCAUCUAAAAUCCAGAUAAUCUUAUAACAAAUAAUGGUUCAUCUCAGAUUCUGUUGAAGCAUAAUAUAAAUGUUGGUGAGUCUUAGACUUAAUGGAUAUGUUUAUGUAAUUCAAAACACUCAGGUGUAUGGCUGUAUUUAAAAAAUUAAUGGAAAAUUUUGGAAAAAUGCUGACAGUAUUUAAUCAUGUAUUUCCUUCAACUGUGAUAAGAUGAACUUUCUUAACUAAAAAAAUACAAUGUCUUGUUUUCUUUAUAGUAUCAAUAUCAGAUAUAAUUUCAAAUUUUAAAACUUGAAAGCACAUUUACGUAUUUUAUUUUUUCAAAAAACCCUUUAUAUAUUUGAAGAAGCUGUACAUUGCCUACUUUGGAUUUGUGGUCUUAAAAAAUGUUUUCAGACAUUUACAUAUUUAUUGUAUGAAAAUAGGUAAUCAUAAUUUAUGCACAUAGUUUCUCUAAACCAUCAGCUUCACAAUAUUACUUUGUGAGAUAAUAUAACUUGAUAAUAUUCUGUAAAUUUUACUUCAGAAGUUAACCUAUUGAAGUAACUAUAAUUUGAUGAAUCCCCAAAUUUCACUGAAUAUUAUCAUCAUUGAGACCUAUGCAGUCAGAAUCUUUAGAGUAGGCGCUAUGAGCGCAUGUUAAAGGCAUGCGAGAGAGUCUAAUGUUGGGCCAUCAAGUUUGUGAACUGCUGUCCAUUGAUGAUCCUGUCCUCACAACUGUCAAACAGAUUCAGUGCUUUUAACAGCCUGGUCCAUAUACUGAGCAGAGCUGCACUGAAAAGGCUGCCUGUGAAGCCCUGGUGCGCACGCCCUCCUGCUUCCUCAGGAAGGCACAUGGGCCUUUACCUGCAGAAUGAGCUGCAGCUGUCUGCUUGCAUGUUUACGAGUCAGUUCUUGUUCUCCAUCUGCUUUCUGGGUGUCACUUGCUUCACAAGGUCACUCACCGACACUAUGGACUUGGCUAGCCUUUGCUCAAGGCCUGUAUCCAAGGAGUAAGCUUUUGACUCCAUUGCCUAGUUCUGGCCUUCAGGAACCACAGACCCAGGUUUUCUAGAAAGGAAAACUGGAAAAUACCUUCGUUAUAGUAUCUCAGGCAGAAAAAUGACCUCCUAAAGGAUCCAGGUCCUAAUCCCUGGAAUUUGUGAGUAUGAGGCAAAAGAGACUAUGCAGAUAUGAUUGAUUAGUGGUUUGGACCUUGAGAUGGAGAGAUUAGCCUGGAUCGUCCAGGUGAAGCCAGUUUAAUCAGAAGAAUCCUUACAAGUGGAGAGCCUGUCAGAGAGAGAAAAGUGACAAAAGAAGAAGGUCAGAGAGAUUCGACAUUGCUGGCUUUGAAGAUGGAAAAAGAGGGCCACCACACAUGUUAAUAAGGGUGGCCUCUAGAAACUGGAAAAAGCAGACUUUGUCCUAUGGAGUUCCCAGAAAGGGAUGCAGCCUGCUAAUACUUCAUUUGUAGCCUGGUGAGACCCAUGUUGGACUUCUGACUUACAGAACUGUAAGAUAAUAAUUUCAUACUGUUUUUAAGCCACUAAGUUUGUGGUAAUUGUUAUGACAGCAGUAGAAAAUUAGGACACUGCUCAUUGUGAAAACCGUUAAAAUGAAAACACAUCCGUUUGAAUUUGAAUUUUACCAGAUCACUACAACUGGGGAUCGUCAUCUAAAUUGUUGCCCAAAAAGAGGGUCAUCAGAUGAAGAUGAUGAGUUAUUAAAAAUGGUUAUUGUGAAAACAUAAAUUUCAAAAGUAUUUAAGUUUAAGGAACAUGAGGCUGUUCGUUUCUGUAAUAGUAUCCGUCUGCUCUCAUUUGAUAUUCUACUCACAGCACAGCAUCACCAACAUAGUUAAGUACUUCAUUCCAAUUCUCUUUAAAAGGAACUGCAUUAAAUUAUACUCACAAAACCUAAGUAGCAUAUUUCAAACUGGGUUUCAAUAUUGAAUGAGGAUGUGACUGAAUAAGUCUUAUCUCUUGGCCUUUUAUGUGAAUUUGUAAAAUCAGGACCUUGAGCUAGAUUUCAAAUGGCAGCAUUCUGUUGUUCUGAGGUCACCAAGGUUUUCCAAGUCCCAAAGAGAGCUAAAGCGAAAUACUGAAAUAAACUGCUUGGUGCAGUACCUGCGAAGCAGCAGUUUCCUGGUUUCCAGUGAACAGCCUGCUGCCACAACCCCCCACCCCCGCUUACAAACCUGCUUAGGGUAGAACCCCUUUUAAAAGAGACUUCACUGUACAAAGGUGGGUAAUCAGUACCAGGUACUAAGACCCUGAGAAGGAAAGUAGAACUACACUUUGAGAAUAUUUCAAUGAAAGCCAGCUUCUGUGAAUGGUUGAAUGGAGUUAUAUGUGCCUGCUACGCGCCAAACAGGUUAUAUAUACUUCAUUCAGAGAGAAUACUCACAUUAAGUAGAAUGUGCACGUUGUUUGAUUAUCUGACUUCCAGGUGACUUAAAUAACUUGAAUUUCUAAGACUGCCUUUUUAAUGUCAUUUCCUCUCCUUUGAUCAUGCAAAAUAUGGUCAUUGCUUAAUCUCCAUGGAGAAAAAAAAGCUGCAUAGUUCAGUAUCAGGUGAUCAGGAGUUAUUUUGGAAAACCACUGUAUUCUGUUUUUAAAAGUUCUAGUCUCAAUUGUUCUGUCCAAUUUUAGUAGGUCAAGAAAGGGAAAAGUAGUAGUGUACAAACAGUUUUUAUGUGAAGACUAUUUGCUGGCUUCGGGAGUUUGGAAAUUAGCCUGGUGAGAAGUCAGGUGGUGUGCAAGAAAGACUACUGCAGGGUCUGUCUUGGCAGACAGAGUUACAUGGGUUUUUUGCCUUUGUGCAUUCCUGGUAGUGUUAAUUUCUUUUAUGUUUGAGACACGAGUGUCUCUGGGCACAACAGAAAAGCCAGAUGGAACAGAAGUUUCUCUGUGUUGGAAAGAAGGAGAUUGGAGAGAAAAGGCACUGCUGAGAAGGCAAAUUAUAUUGUCAAAAGCAGCUUCGAGAGGAUAGAAAUAAAUGUAUCUCAGAAUUGCCUGAGGCCAGCCCUGCAGUUUGUCAUAUCAAGUGUCAUGCAUGGCUUUUGUGUCAAAGAACUAGUUUCAGAAUAAAUUAUUUAUUAGCUCACUAGACCCAGAUUUAGGCAGCAGUGAAUACCUGUGAACAUCAGGAAACAUGUAGGCAGCAUUAAGCUUUUGUACACAUCAAGUAGCAUCUAAGAAAGCCCAAGUAAGAUCUAACAUUGCAGAGGACCUGGUACUACCACUGGCUUCAGCAGAGGAGUUUUUUGUGCUUGUAAGGUAGUGGUCACUACCUCCCAGAGCCUUGGCAUCCAGGGACUUACAGCAGGGAUAGAGUGAAUGCCUGCUGUGUGCCAAGCUCUUUACAUUGUCACCUGAUUUCAUUCCCACAUAAUUUUUUACAGUAGAUAUUACCCUCAUUUUACAGUGAGAGAGAGUAUAAGCAAGCUGAGAGAUUCACUCUUUUAAAAUUGUCUAUAUUCUUAGGCAGACAGAAUCUGGCCCCCAAGGUAAUUUCCAAUAUUAUUGUCAAAUUUUGUUAAUAAUUGCUGCCACCUCAAAGAAAUGUGAAUGAGUUGAGGUGCGUGUCUUUGGGACUAACUCAGUUAGCCUUUCAAGGUGUAUUCUGAUGAUACCAUGUACCUGGUGCCACUAUCUGAAUUCUAGGAAGAACCUUAGGUGGAAGAGAAUCUUUUCCAAAGGACUAACUUUGCAAAUUUGUUACUUUUGCCUUCAGCUUUAUUUGCAAAUUCAAACCUAUGCAAUGAUAAGGAAUACUCCACCCUUGUUAGAUUUUGAACUCAAUAGAAACUGAGGCCAAUAGUGAGCUAAUUGUUUCAGUUAAUUCUUGAUAAUAUCACAAAUGCCAGCCCUUGGUUUUUGCUUUGGCUUUUCUAACCUCUCUUCCAUCGACUGGACUUUCUUUUGGCCCUCCCAUUUCUUUAGGUACCUAGUGCUUCCUGGUUUUGAAAGACCUUGCUCUCCUUAGUUAUCAACUAAUCCCUGCAGAGGAGGUAUCCAUAAGGCUCGUGAGUGUGUGUUCUUUGUGAAGAUUUUAUGUUGUAAAUACUUAAAAGCCUUUAAGUGCUAAACAGUGGAAUUUAGGUAUAAAGACAAGGUAGAUUCCUUGGUUUAGGAGUUGUUUUGGGUUGCAGGAGUGGGUUUAUCCAGCAUCAUUUCCAUGCAUCCAUGUAGGCCCUGUGCACUUGAAGUCCAUCCCUGCAUAUUUCCCCUGUGAAGGCAGUGCAUUACUUUUUUGGAGAAGCAUCUGGUAGUUGGAUACUAAUGACUUUGACCCUGUAGUAGUGGCUAUUGGAUUUGCUUCUGUUGACCAGGACUUAUGGAGGAAAUAUGCUUCUCUAGGCAUUGGCCCCAGCACCUUGCCCACCUCCAGUCAAUGACCAUGUUUCUAUAGCUGUUAGCCUCCCUCCCCAGAGACAAUAUGACAUGGUUUUAAAGUAGAGGAAUACUUCCUCAAUUAUAAUUUUGUUCCAAGAGUAAUCUAUACUUUGCACUUCCUUCUGAUUUGAUCCAUGUCUAAAUUUACUGCAAGGCAGUAUAUAUAGUACAAGGACCUUUUUGAAUUCACAUGUUCUUAGAACACUGAUCUGAAUUAGAGUUGGAUAGAAGAGUACCAUGUGGGGUGGGGGGGGAAGAGUACCAUGGAACUUGUUUUUUUACAUAAAGAUCAAAAUCUCUGUUUAUUAUUAUUAAUCAGUACCAUUUAUCAAGUGCAAUACCUAUGAUGUACCAGACACUGCAUUAGAUGGUCUACAUAUAUUUUGAGAAACAAUACAGCAGAAUGUUUAAGAGCAAAUUCUCUGGACUGAUGAGUUCAAAUCCUAGCUCCACUUCAUGCUAGCUGUGUAACCUUACGUAAAUUACCUAAGUCUGUGCCUCAGUAAUCGGUGUCUGUUUGGAGGAUUAAAUGAGUAAUUCAGGUAGAGUGCUUAGAGCAGUCUCUGAUAUCUGGUAAUAGCUCAAUAAAUGUUUUUCUAAUUCUUCUAAUAACGUACAAGGUAGAUAUUUUUAUUCCCAUUUUAAGAUGAGUGAACUACGACUCCAAAGUUAGAAAACACAUCCGAAGUCACACAGAUAAUAAUUGGUGGCACUGGUUCUAAACUCAGGUCUGUCAGACCUGAAGGCUUCUCAGCAUAGAAGUUUGGAUUAUUUUUCUGUGUUCUCCGUUUGUGUCUUUGAGGGUUAUAAAAGAGGGCCUGGUUUAUGAACUGCUGAGCACAUCAAUCAUUUUUCACUCACAUCACAUGUGUAAAUAUCUUCUGAAAAUGAAGUGGGAAAACUUUACCAAGGAACAUGGGCUUAUGGAAGUUUAGUCUGUGGAGCUGGAAAAUUUCAUGACUGUAUAUUAAAGGGAAGAUCUGAAGCAGCAAA